ensembl:ncRNA lncRNA:CR32027 long non-coding RNA:CR32027
ACUUUCUUAUUAGCGCUAAAAUAUUCCGCGACUGGGAUAAUUCAAUUUCAAUUGUAACAAAUUUACGCCUCUUGGCCAAUUAUAUACAGGACGGGCAGUUUGAAGAGCCAGACCCUGAGUCGAGCCAUAUUGGGUCAAAGAGUUGGCGGACAGCGCUUAGAUAUACGCGUCCACAACACCAACACCGACGACUCCGAUCAACAGCGCCACCCCCACAAACCCGUGGUCACCAAUUGGAACUCCACUGCCACUGCCGCCGAGCCCUGGUCCUGAUCGUUCACUGUUAAGUCCCGCCAACAGCAGCUACCUGUCCACAUCCACAUCACCACACCCGCCACCGGACUACGACGACAUCUUCGUUGGGUAAUAAGGACUCGGAUCUGGACUCCAGACCCACGAUACGGAUGGUGGAACCGUUAUAUCGGCUUGGUCGUAAAGGAGGAGCAGGCACCAGUGCAGGAAGUGCACCUUGAUGUUAAGGUCCAUUAACCAAGCAAACAUCACCAUGCUGAAGUGCGCUGUUUCGAAGUGGCAGCCGAUUUGAUGACUAAGAUUCAUCCCAAUUAAACGACCUAUUAAACUCAACUGUGGUGCACGGAACUUAAAAAAUCUUAAGGAAUAUGAGGAGACGGUGUACCGUGAAAACGGGAACUGCUGUGCCAUUUAGACCAAACUGGCAACCUGUUACAUAUUUCAGCCACGUUAGCCAGGCGACACCUGAAGGUAAUAACGGCAGGCCACCUGUUGCUGAUCACAAAGACUACAGGAAUUUGAAAUUACUGACACAGUACCCAAUACUAUGCCCUUAUUUAUUCUUAGAACAUAUGUACAUAAAUACAUUAAUCGGCAUUUAAUGGUAUCAUCAGUGUUUAAGUCCAUGUUUUUGUUGAUCUAUUACAUAUGUAUUUCUUUAAUGACAUAAAGAAAAAGCUAAACAAUUAGAAACUAAGCCAGAAAGUAGUUGUACAAUAGUUAAUUAAGGAUCGUACCUUAUGUUCAGACAUACUUUACUUUAAUGAAAUUUAAUCAUUCAUUUUCCAUAUAAGUAUAAUGACUUAAGCAUC